GACGAACGCUGGCGGCGUGCUUAACACAUGCAAGUCGAACGGUAAGGCCCUUCGGGGUACACGAGUGGCGAACGGGUGAGUAACACGUGGGUGAUCUGCCCUGCACUUCGGGAUAAGCCUGGGAAACUGGGUCUAAUACCGGAUAGGACCACUGCCUGCAUGGGUGGUGGUGGAAAGCUUUUGCGGUGUGGGAUGGGCCCGCGGCCUAUCAGCUUGUUGGUUGGGUGAUGGCCUACCAAGGCGACGACGGGUAGCCGGCCUGAGGGGGGGACCGGCCACACUGGGACUGAGAUACGGCACAGCCUCCUACGGGAGGGAAUAGUGGAGAAGAUUGCUCGAUGGGCGCAAGCCUGAUGCAGCGACGCCGCGUGGGGGAGGACGGCCUUCGGGUUGUAAACCUCUUUCAGCACCGACGAAGCGCAAGUGACGGUAGGUGCAGAAGAAGGACCGGCCAACUACGUGCCAGCAGCCGCAGUAA
rnacentral:rRNA from 1 species